rfam:Lingula anatina scaffold361, whole genome shotgun sequence.
UUAACGGCCCUUUUCAGGGCCAACCCAAACAACCAAGAAAAGCUAU